GUCUAAAAUGAUGUUUGAUUUUAUAUUAAAUGUUAUACAAAUAUUUUAUAAUUGAAUUAAGAUGUGUAUACCUUGCAUAAUCUUUAAAACACAGGAACAGCUUGUGAAUAUUUCUUCAACUUUAUUUUAAGGAUGUUAUCUCAUUCUAUUGUGGCCAUUUGAAUGAUAAUCAAGAAUUUAUGGAACGUGAGACUUAAUUUCAUACCAGCAAGAAAGAGGAGGCCUUGACUGCCUGUAUGGGCUUCAGAUCUCUCAGAUGGAGAAAAGAUUACUCAAAGAAGAAUGGCUGGUUACUACAGUAUUUGUUAACAAAACCCAGCUGGUGGGAAUGUGGGUGUUGUGUGGACUUUCGGUGAUGAUUUCAGCAGUGUUCCUUCCUGAUUGUGUUCAGAAGCACAGAGCAUUAAUAAAGGCUGAAAUAAGUUUACCGUGAA